AUGUAGAUCCCAAGACCCGUGAAAAUAUUAGAAUGGUAAACUUUAUGUUUUAGGGCAAAGUGCCUCAGAUAUCAAGAGAAAGUUGCAAAAAUUAGGUGGUAUAUUUGGAAUGUGUGAAUGUGUAAAAAGUCAUUCAGUCAUGUCCUACUCUUUGCAGAACUGGACAGUAGCCACUAGGUUUCUCUGCCCACGGGAUCCUCCAGCAAGAACACUGGAGUGGGCUGUCAUGCCCUCCUCCAGGGGAUCUUCCCAAUCCAGGGAUGGAACCCAUGUUUCUCUGUUUACUGCAUUGGCAGGUGGGUUAUUUACCACUAGUACUACCUGGAAAGCCUCCUACAUUUGGAAUGGACCCUCCUCAGUUGGUAGAUGUUGCCUUUAAAGUAUUCAGCAAAGUAAAACAAUAGAAGAAUGCAGAUGCAAAACAAAACUCCACUUUUUGUUGGAGGGGCAUUUGAUUUCCAGAAGAGAAAAGCCCCUGCUGGGGAAGGAACAAUGUGCUACUGUAAGGAGGAGAACAGUGGAAAGCAAUUGCCCUACGCUAAAUCAGAAAAACAAUAAAAGCUGAGAGCCUCUCCUGUGGUAGACAGAAAGGAACACUCUAAAGGAAGAGGCCCAGAAGCGUCCUUGGAUUGUGCCACCUAAUUCCCCACAGAAGCCCCAGAGACAGCAGCCCACCAGGCUCCCUCGUCCCUGGGAUUCUCCAGGCAAGAACACUGGAGUGGGUUGCCAUUUCCUUCUCC
ensembl:lncRNA